CUUUGCUCUUCUUGAUAUGACCAUAUAAAUUGUGCUGUAAGCUUUCUCCCAUGGGAUUGCCGUUUCUGAUUAUACUUUGGAGAGCGAUCCCAUUAUGGAUGUAGAAGAAAAAUAAAAGACAAUCGAUGAUGUUUGAUUGAAUGGGUUGGCACCCAAUUAUGUAUCUUGCACGACGGGAAGGGGUGCCUUUUAAGAGAUAUGUCUCUUCUUAAAAAUGCCUCUCCAUAAGCAAUUCGCAUCUCUUCAUGACAAAUCGCGACAUGCCCUUCUUUGACAGUAUACAUUGCUCUUGGUAUUCUUGGCGACGAUUGGAUUCAUGGUCAUUGAUACAACGAUAAUGAAGAAUGUAUGUUAUAAUGUUAUGAAGUGAUUUCCUUAUAUGAUCGAUAUAUCAUUGAUACCUGCGGCCCUCAUGAUGAAGAGAGAUUUGCAUAAAGGAUCUCCAUGAUUACUACAGCAUUAUGGUCACUGCUUCAGUAUGGAUCGUACCUCCUCCAUGUUGUCUUGAUGAUGAUGUUGAAUGGGAAAAUCGUGAAGACUUAUAAAUAA